rnacentral:rRNA from 1 species
UGGGGAAUAUUGGACAAUGGGCGAAAGCCUGAUCCAGCCAUGCCGCGUGUGUGAAGAAGGUCUUCGGAUUGUAAAGCACUUUAAGUUGGGAGGAAGGGCAUUAACCUAAUACGUUAGUGUUUUGACGUUACCGACAGAAUAAGCACCGGCUAACUCUGUGCCAGCAGCCGCGGUAAUACAGAGGGUGCAAGCGUUAAUCGGAAUUACUGGGCGUAAAGCGCGCGUAGGUGGUUUGUUAAGUUGGAUGUGAAAUCCCCGGGCUCAACCUGGGAACUGCAUUCAAAACUGACUGACUAGAGUAUGGUAGAGGGUGGUGGAAUUUCCUGUGUAGCGGUGAAAUGCGUAGAUAUAGGAAGGAACACCAGUGGCGAAGGCGACCACCUGGACUAAUACUGACUCUGAGGUGCGAAAGCGUGGGGAGCAAACA